rnacentral:rRNA from 1 species
GACGAACGCUGGCGGCGUGCUUAACACAUGCAAGUCGAACGGAAAGGCCCUGCUUUUGUGGGGUGCUCGAGUGGCGAACGGGUGAGUAACACGUGAGUAACCUGCCCUUGACUUUGGGAUAACUUCAGGAAACUGGGGCUAAUACCGGAUAGGAGCUCCCGCUGCAUGGUGGGGGUUGGAAAGUUUCGGCGGUUGGGGAUGGACUCGCGGCUUAUCAGCUUGUUGGUGGGGUAGUGGCUUACCAAGGCUUUGACGGGUAGCCGGCCUGAGAGGGUGACCGGCCACAUUGGGACUAAGAUACGGCCCAGACUCCUACGGGAGGCAGCAGUGGGGAAUAUUGCACAAUGGGCGGAAGCCUGAUGCAGCGACGCCGCGUGCGGGAUGACGGCCUUCGGGUUGUAAACCGCUUUCGCCUGUGACGAAGCGUGAGUGACGGUAAUGGGUAAAGAAGCACCGGCUAACUACGUG